rnacentral:lncRNA from 1 species
AGAAAUUUAGUUAAGGUUUGAGGCGGAGUUGGUGACGUAAGCAUUGCCCACCGGUCGCGGAGGAGGAGGUAUUCGGGUUUGGGAGAGGGGUGAGGAAGAGGUGGCGGCCCGUGCGGAGGUCGUAGGAGGCGAGGGCGAAGAAGGGAGGAGAGGAUGGAGAGUGGACGACGACGUUGGUGUUUGACAACCGCGAUGCCGAGGAUGGUGGUGGGAAAAGGGAGGGAGGAAUCGGAGUUGACGGUAUCGACAACGACUGCGUCGGAGAUAGACUGGAGGAGUGGGUGGCGGAGGGAGCUAACGAUGAAGUGUUGGGAGGAUGGGUCCCAAGUGAGGGAAUAACAGUUUUAUAGAUCUAGAUCUAUAACAAGAACAUGAACAUGAAUAUGAUCCUUCUCCGAGUCUGACCAGCACCAGCGCCGCCUCCUUCGACAGAAGCCCAAGAACCCCAGACACCUACUAAUUUGAGUUCAUUAAGCAUCUGUUUCAGGUAUUAAUAGCUCUGCUUCAGAUCCUAUUUUAGUGACAAGUACUGGUCAAGAUGUUCCAAAUAGCAGUCAAGCAGCCUCCGGAGUUGUUAAGUCCCCCAAUGAAACAAAAUCGAAAAUAUCACAGGGCGUUGAGAAGGAUAUGCGUAGUAUUUUAAUUUUAUUUUUG